UACGUAGGGCGCAAGCGUUGUCCGGAUUCACUGGGUGUAAAGGGUGCGUAGGCGGGAGAGUAAGUCCGCGGUGAAAUCUCACAGCUCAACUGUGAAACUGCCGUUGAUACUGCUUUUCUUGAGUUCGGGAGAGGUUGAUGGAAUUCCAGGUGUAGCGGUGAAAUGCGUAGAUAUCUGGAAGAACACCAGUGGCGAAGGCGGUCAACUGGCCCGUAACUGACGCUGAGGCACGAAAGCGUGGGUAG
rnacentral:rRNA from 1 species